AUGCAUGAUCCUCAAGCUUCUUCAUCUUUCUCAAUUUUCAUUGAUUUUGUGAACAAUCACAUUGAUUCUUCUUCCAUUCUUCUUGUUUAGAUCUCAAUUUCGUUUUGAGUUAUUUGAUUCGCUUCUUUUUCAUUGUUUCACGCAUCAUCUUUUGCGUCUUUUCUUCGUACUAUGUUCUUCAUUACUGGUAAUUUUCUAGCUUUUCUUC
rnacentral:lncRNA from 1 species